rnacentral:rRNA from 1 species
CAAUACAUCAGUGGCAAACGGGUGAGGAAUAUAGAGGAAUCUUCCCAGCAGUAAGGAAUAACUCUGAGAAAUCAGAGCUAAUGCCAUAUAUCACCCUCCGGGGGAAAGAUUUAUCGCUGUUGGAUGAGCCUCUAUCGGAUUAGCUAGUUGGUAGGGUAAUGGCCUACCAAGGCAAUGAUCCGUAGCUGGUCUGAGAGGAUGAUCAGCCACACUGGAACUGAGACACGGUCCAGACUCC